GAUGAACGCUGGCGGCGUGCCUAACACAUGCAAGUCGAGCGAUUCUCUUCGGAGAAGAGCGGCGGACGGGUGAGUAACGCGUGGGUAACCUGCCCUGUACACACGGAUAACAUACCGAAAGGUAUGCUAAUACGAGAUAAUAUGCUUUUAUCGCAUGGUAGAAGUAUCAAAGCUCCGGCGGUACAGGAUGGACCCGCGUCUGAUUAGCUAGUUGGUAAGGUAACGGCUUACCAAGGCGACGAUCAGUAGCCGACCUGAGAGGGUGAUCGGCCACAUUGGAACUGAGACACGGUCCAAACUCCUACGGGAGGCAGCAGUGGGGAAUAUUGCACAAUGGGCGAAAGCCUGAUGCAGCAACGCCGCGUGAGUGAUGAAGGCCUUCGGGUCGUAAAGCUCUGUCCUCAAGGAAGAUAAUGACGGUACUUGAGGAGGAAGCCCCGGCUAACUACGUGCCAGCAGCCGCGGUAACAC
rnacentral:rRNA from 1 species